rnacentral:rRNA from 1 species
AGUGAACGCUGGCGGUAGGCCUAACACAUGCAAGUCGAACGGCAGCACAGUAAGAGCUUGCUCUUACGGGUGGCGAGUGGCGGACGGGUGAGGAAUACAUCGGAAUCUACUUUUUCGUGGGGGAUAACGUAGGGAAACUUACGCUAAUACCGCAUACGACCUACGGGUGAAAGCAGGGGAUCUUCGGACCUUGCGCGAUUGAAUGAGCCGAUGUCGGAUUAGCUAGUUGGCGGGGUAAAGGCCCACCAAGGCGACGAUCCGUAGCCGGUCUGAGAGGAUGGUCGGCCGCACGGGAACUUGAACAGCGUCCAGACUCCUACGGGAGGCAGCAGUGGGGAAUAUUGGACAAUGGGCGCAAGCCUGAUCCAGCCAUACCGCGUGGGUGAAGAAGGCCUUCGGGUUGUAAAGCCCUUUUGUUGGGAAAGAAAAGCAGCAGGUUAAGACCCCGCUGUUCUGACGGUACCCAAAGAAUAAGCACCGGCUAACUUCGUG